rnacentral:rRNA from 1 species
AACGAACGCUGGCGGCAUGCCUAACACAUGCAAGUCGAACGGACGGUAGCAAUACCGUUAGUGGCGGACGGGUGAGUAACGCGUGGGAACCUGCCUCGAAGUUCGGAAUAACCGCGGGAAACUGCGGCUAAUACCGGAUGUGGCCUGAGGGUCAAAGGCGCAAGUCGCUUCGAGAGGGGCCCGCGUCCGAUUAGCUAGUUGGUGGGGUAACGGCCUACCAAGGCGACGAUCGGUAGCUGGUCUGAGAGGAUGAUCAGCCACACUGGGACUGAGACACGGCCCAGACUCCUACGGGAGGCAGCAGUGGGGAAUAUUGGACAAUGGGGGAAACCCUGAUCCAGCAAUGCCGCGUGGGUGAUGAAGGCCUU